AAUGAAGAACGUAGCGAAAUGCGAUAAGUAAUGUGAAUUGCAGAAUUCAGUGAAUCAUCGAAUCUUUGAACGCACAUUGCGCCCGCCAGUAUUCUGGCGGGCAUGCCUGUUCGAGCGUCAUUUCAACCAUCAAGCCCCAGGCUUGUGUUGGGGACCUGCGGCUGCCGCAGGCCCUGAAAACCAGUGGCGGGCUCGCUGUCACACCGGGCGUAGUAGAUUUUAUCUCGCUCAGGGCGUGCUGCGGGUUCCGGCCGUUAAAGAGCCUUUUUUACCCAAGGUUGACCUCGGAUCAGGUAGGAAUACCCGCUGAACUUAAGCAUAUCAAUAAGCGGAGGA
rnacentral:misc_RNA from 1 species